GUGGGGAAUUUUGCGCAAUGGGCGAAAGCCUGACGCAGCAACGCCGCGUGUGUGAUGAAGGUCUUUGGAUUGUAAAGCACUUUCGACCGGGACGAAAACCCGUUGGCUAACAUCCAACGGCUUGACUGUACCGGGAGAAGAAGCACCGGCUAACUCUGUGCCAGCAGCCGCGGUAAUACAGAGGGUGCAAGCGUUGUUCGGAAUUAUUGGGCGUAAAGCGCGUGUAGGCGGCGUGACAAGUCGGGUGUGAAAGCCCUCAGCUCAACUGAGGAAGUGCGCCCGAAACUGUCGUGCUUGAGUGCCGGAGAGGGUGGCGGAAUUCCCCAAGUAGAGGUGAAAUUCGUAGAUAUGGGGAGGAACACCGGUGGCGAAGGCGGCCACCUGGACGGUUACUGACGCUGAGACGCGAAAGCGUGGGGAGCAAACAGG
rnacentral:rRNA from 1 species